GGACGGGUGGAUAUAUAUUGUUCGGGUACCUACAGGACGGUCAAUAGCCUACUUAAAAUGAAAACUCAUCACGUGCCGUUAGUUGCUUGUGUUGGUGUGUUGCUUGCUUAUUGAACGCUAUGGCUGCGAUAACGACACGUUCCCCACGGGAAUACCAGAUACAGUAUGCCUUUCUACAGGUUAAUUGGGGACUCAAGGUACGCACACUCGCAUUUUGGACUACCCGGAUGGAUUGUCUCCUAAUCGGCUCCUAUGGGGGCAACGGUGAGCCAUAUUGCAAUGUUCAAGAGAGAACACAGGUGCCAGAAGAAUGAGAAGAGGAAGCUUAGAAAUGAUCUAUGCAAUCUCAAACUGCUAACAUGCAUAAAAAUCAGUAUGAUAAAUUUGUUCCUCAUAGGUUUGGUUAUAAAAACAAUGACUGAUUGUAUUACCCUGGUUCCUAAUAAUACAACAUCUCUUGUUUGGAGCAAAGUAAAGUCUUGUACAUACUA